GCCUAACGGCCAACUGGUGCGGUAAAAUUUCUCACGCGAAAGAGUUUACCGCAAAGAUAACCAGACGCGGGUCAGAUUCUAGGAACUGAGAGUACGGUUAAAAAGACAUCUCUUGGGACGUAACCUGGACUAAUUGACUCAAGUCUGUGAGUGGAUUUCAGGAAUAUGCAUUUCAGCAAGCUCUUCAGGGUCGUUGUUGCCAUCUAUGAGCCCAAGAAGGUAAGAAUGCCUGAGGCCCAGGAAAGUCACAAUGCAGCCCUGAGAACAUGGUGGAUGUUUUCUUGAAAAGGAAUGAAAUGAACUUGUCACUUCAAGAAAAGUAACGGUGAUGUUAUGUUGCCAAUGAUAAAUUUGAACUUUCAACCAAAAAUUACAGUAUUGGGAAAUUUUUAUCUGCCACCAUGAACUUGGAAACUUCUCAGUACUUAAAAACCUCUGCUGAUAUCCAGGAUAUCAGAAAUGUGGUUUUCUGAUUAUACCAUGAAAGGAGUUCACAUUUGGAAGAUUAGGAGAUCUGUAUAACUCAGUGAACCACUAUUUUCCAAAACCCAGGAGACCUACCGAGGAACAUACACUCGCGUGACACAAACCAAUGAGUGAGUAUAUCAAAUCAUGCACUGCUAAAAGGUCCAUCAAAAUAAUGGAUAAAAAUUAAGAUAGAUU
ensembl:lncRNA